CAUUUUUGGAGAAUUUUUAUUUUUGGAAAGAAAAAUUGGGAAUGGAAUUGGCAGUUUUGGAGAGGAAGAUUGUUGGUCUGGAUCUCGCAGGAUCGGGCGCUCCCUCAGCUAUACCAGGAUUGCGAAUGAAGUUAGCUCAUGUCACUCCUUCCUUGAGCUCUGAGCAUGUGCGUAGGAGAGAUUCUUUAGAUGCUGUUAGUGUACAGGACUCCCCCUCAAAUGGUCGCUCAGUUCAUAGCCGACAUGAUGAUCCCUGUUGAUUUGCUCCAGACUUUAUAGCUCAUUUACAUUUAUCUUUUUAUAUACUUUCAUAUUAUAUAUAUUCAUGCACG